UACGUAUGGUGCAAGCGUUAUCCGGAUUUACUGGGCGUAAAGGGAGCGCAGGCGGCGCGCCAAGUCUGAUGUGAAACCCCGGGGCUCAACCCCGGGCAUGCAUUGGAAACUGGCGGGCUGGAGUGCCGGAGAGGUAAGCGGAAUUCCUAGUGUAGCGGUGAAAUGCGUAGAUAUUAGGAGGAACACCAGUGGCAAAGGCGGCUUACUGGACGGCAACUGACGCUGGGGCUCGAAAGCGUGGGGAGCAAACAGG
rnacentral:rRNA from 1 species